GACGAACGCUGGCGGCGCGCCUAACACAUGCAAGUCGAGCGAUGAACAUUGAAUGAUCCCUUCGGGGUGAUUUCGAUCGGAUUAGCGGCGAACGGGUGAGUAACGCGUGAGGAACCUGCCUCUUACAAAGGGAUAGCCUCGGGAAACCGGGAUUAAUACCGUAUAAGACUCCGACAUCUCCUGAUGAUGAAGGCAAAGCGUUAGCGGUAAGCGAUGGCCUAGCGUCUGAUUAGCUGGUUGGCGGGGGAACGGCCCACCAAGGCGACGGUCAGUAACCGUCCUGAGAGGGUGAACCGUCACAUUGGACCUGAGACACGGUCCAACCUCCUACGGGAGGCAGCGGUGAGGAAUCUUGCACAAUGGGGGCAACCUUGAUGCAGCGACGCCGCGUGAGCGAUGAAGGUUUUCGAAGCGUAAAGCUCUGUCCUAUGAGAAGAUAAUGACGGUACCAUGGGAGGAAGCCCCGGCUAACUACGUGCCAGCCGCCGCAGUAA
rnacentral:rRNA from 1 species